rnacentral:rRNA from 1 species
AACGAACGCUGGCGGCAUGCCUAACACAUGCAAGUCGAGCGCCGUAGCAAUACGGAGCGGCGCACGGGUGAGUAACGCGUGGGAACCUGCCCAGAGGUUCGGGACAACCGCGGGAAACUGCGGCUGAUACCGGAUGAUACCUGAGGGUCAAAGAUUUAUCGCCUUUGGAGGGGCCCGCGUCAGAGUAGGUAGUUGGUGAGGUAACGGCUCGCCAAGCCUGUGGGCUGUAGCUGGUCUGAGAGGAUGACUAGCCACACUGGGGCUGAGACACGGCCCAGACUCCUACGGGAGGCAGCAGUGGGGAGGAUUGGAAAAUGGGGGCAACCCGGAUCCAGCAAGGCCGCGUGGGUGAUGAAGGCCUUCGGGUUGUAAAGCCCUUUCGGCGGGGACGAUGAUGACGGUACCCGCAGAAGAAGCCCCGGCUAACUUCGUGCCAGCCGCCGCGGUAACAC